AGUGAAUGGCACUGACAUCCUGCCUCCGCCUGACUGAGCCCUGAGUCACAGGCCCCUGCCGGAGGCCCUGCUGCUCUGGGCAGACCAGGCCUGCACCACUGACAAGGCCUAGGAGGAAGCAUUAGGGCAGUCAAGAGUCCCUGGGGAGGCUGACUGAGGCUUAAAGAAACGGGGCUGGCAUUUCCUCCCGGCAAGGCUGGCCAGGGCCCUGCACUCAGGCUGGCUGGUGAAGAAGCGUGCUGGGGGGCUGCGUGCAUGCAGGCACGGUGUCAAGGUGGCCGGCCC
rnacentral:lncRNA from 1 species